CCUACGGGGGGCUGCAGUGGGGAAUAUUGCACAAUGGGGGAAACCCUGAUGCAGCAACGCCGCGUGGAGGAUGAAGGUCUUCGGAUUGUAAACUCCUUUGAUGAGGGACGAAUAAUGACGGUACCUCAAAAACAAGCCACGGCUAACUACGUGCCAGCAGCCGCGGUAAUACGUAGGUGGCAAGCGUUGUCCGGAAUUAUUGGGCGUAAAGGGCGCGUAGGCGGUCCCUUAAGUCAGAUGUGAAAUCCCGAGGCUCAACUUCGGGCGUGCAUUUGAAACUGGGGGACUAGAGUGCAGGAGAGGUAAGUGGAAUUCCUAGUGUAGCGGUGAAAUGCGUAGAUAUUAGGAGGAACACCAGUGGCGAAGGCGACUUACUGGACUGUAACUGACGCUGAGGCGCGAAAGCGUGGGGAGCAAACAGGAUUAGAUACCCGGGUAGUC
rnacentral:rRNA from 1 species